CACAGGUGGUCGGGUAGAGAAUACCAAGGCGCUUGAGAGAACUCGGGUGAAGGAACUAGGCAAAAUGGUACCGUAACUUCGGGAGAAGGUACGCUCUUGAUGGUGAAGUCCCUCGCGGAUGGAGCUGACGAGAGUCGCAGAUACCAGGUGGCUGCAACUGUUUAUUAAAAACACAGCACUGUGCAAAAUCGCAAGAUGACGUAUACGGUGUGACGCCUGCCCGGUGCCGGAAGGUUAAUUGAUGGGGUUAGCGCAAGCGAAGCUCUUGAUCGAAGCCCCGGUAAACGGCGGCCGUAACUAUAACGGUCCUAAGGUAGCGAAAUUCCUUGUCGGGUAAGUUCCGACCUGCACGAAUGGCGUAAUGAUGGCCACGCUGUCUCCACCCGAGACUCAGUGAAAUUGAAAUCGCUGUGAAGAUGCAGUGUACCCGCGGCUAGACGGAAAGACCCCGUGAACCUUUACUACAGCUUGGCACUGAACAUUGAACCUACAUGUGUAGGAUAGGUGGGAGGCUAUGAAGACGUGACGCCAGUUGCGUUGGAGCCGUCCUUGAAAUACCACCCUUGUAUGUUUGAUGUUCUAACUUAGACCCAUUAUCUGGGUUGAGGACAGUGCCUGGUGGGUAGUUUGACUGGGGCGGUCUCCUCCCAAAGAGUAACGGAGGAGCACGAAGGUGGGCUAAUCACGGUUGGACAUCGUGAGGUUAGUGCAAUGGCAUAAGCCCGCUUAACUGCGAGAAUGACGGUUCGAGCAGGUGCGAAAGCAGGUCAUAGUGAUCCGGUGGUUCUGUAUGGAAGGGCCAUCGCUCAACGGAUAAAAGGUACUCCGGGGAUAACAGGCUGAUACCGCCCAAGAGUUCAUAUCGACGGCGGUGUUUGGCACCUCGAUGUCGGCUCAUCACAUCCUGGGGCUGAAGUCGGUCCCAAGGGUAUGGCUGUUCGCCAUUUAAAGUGGUACGCGAGCUGGGUUUAGAACGUCGUGAGACAGUUCGGUCCCUAUCUGCCGUGGGCGUUGGAAGAUUGAAGGGGGCUGCUCCUAGUACGAGAGGACCGGAGUGGACGAACCUCUGGUGUUCGGGUUGUGUCGCCAGACGCAUUGCCCGGUAGC
rnacentral:rRNA from 1 species